AUUGAACGCUGGCGGAAUGCUUUACACAUGCAAGUCGAACGGUAGAGGGGGCAACCCCUUGAGAGUGGCGAACGGGUGAGUAAUAUAUCGGAACGUGCCCAGUCGUGGGGGAUAACGUAGCGAAAGUUACGCUAAUACCGCAUACGAUCUAAGGAUGAAAGCGGGGGACUCGCAAGAGCCUCGCGCGAUUGGAGCGGCCGAUAUCAGAUUAGGUAGUUGGUGGGGUAAAGGCUCACCAAGCCAACGAUCUGUAGCUGGUCUGAGAGGACGACCAGCCACACUGGAACUGAGACACGGUCCAGACUCCUACGGGAGGCAGCAGUGGGGAAUUUUGGACAAUGGACGCAAGUCUAAUCCAGCCAUUCCGCGUGCAGGAUGAAGGCCCUCGGGUUGUAAACUGCUUUUGUACGGAACGAAAAGGUUUGUCUUAAUACGAUGAGCUCAUGACGGUACCGUAAGAAUAAGCACCGGCUAACUACGUG
rnacentral:rRNA from 1 species